rnacentral:piRNA from 1 species
UGCUUAACGACAAAGGCUAUACAUAUUGA